GUGGGAGUGGUUCUGUGGGCAAAGCACUUACCUGGCAAGCAGGAGGACCUGAGUUCAAUCCCCAGAGCCCACA
rnacentral:tRNA from 2 species